rnacentral:lncRNA from 1 species
UUCCCUUACUUAACGGAACCAUGUUCUUUUACCAGACACAAUACUUGAAAAUCGACUCGUCAGUAUUAGGUAUCUCCAAGGUUUUUGGUCAGGCAACAAUGCUUCUAUGGGGCGUUAUAUAUAAUCGAUACCUGAAAUCUAUAUCACCUAGGAAACUGAUAUCAGCGAUUCAAGAAACAAUUGCAUUCUUAAUGAUUUCAGAUGUCUUAUUUGUGCGCGGUUUCUAUAGACAAAUGGGCGUGCCGGAUACACUCUAUGUUGUGAUUUUCUCAGGAUUCUUGGAGGUUCUAUUUUUCUUUAAGUUUCUUCCUUUCACUGUGUUAUUAGCACAGCUAUGUCCACAAGGUUGAGAAGGGUCAAUAAUGGCAUUUCUUAUGUCUGCUGUUGCAUUGGCAUUCAUUGUGAGUGGAUACCUUGGUGUUGCACUUGCAUCUUAUAUUAAGAUAACAGGAAGUGAUUUUUCAGGAUUAUCACUUGGACUUGUGAUACAAGCUUCAUGUACUUUGUUGCCAAUAUUUUGGUCAUCAUGCAUACCUGAAUAUGUAAAAACAAAAGACAAGCAUAAAGACUAAUUAAUGUAAUAGCUUUUAGAAAUGUGAUAGUGAUUUAAGGUGUUGAGCAAAUUUUGCGUUCCAUUUAUCAGUAACGUAGUUUAUGUUGGUGCGAGAUUUUUUCCAGUAGGAUUGUAAUUUUCUAAUUUCAUGUUUAGUAAAGAAAAAAAUGUUUAGUAAAUGUUUACAGAAAAGCAAAGCCAAACAAGUGGUUGAAGAAGGCACAAUUAAAAGCAAAAGGUAUGAAAUCAUAUUGAAAAAGUGAACAAUCUCACACAGUUAAAAAUUGAGUCAACUUUUAUAUACUACUAUUCUUUAUGGUCUUUGCCACUUUUUUCCUCAACCCUGUUUCAGUUAAAUUAUGAGAUUUCUAAAUAUCAAUUUAAGAAUGCUCAUGUAACUUAUAAUAUGAGGUUGAUUAUAAAGAAUACGUUGGAAAAGUGAUCUUAUAUAGGCAGUUGUCUGAAAAUAAUCUCAAUUAUUGGAUCAUAAGAUGGUGGAGAUAUGUUACGACAAAACUGCCAAGAGAGGUGUGAAAGUAGAUAGUAUAAAAAUGGCUUUUAGUCCCACAUUGCUAGCAAAGAAAAAUAACACAUGUGAAGUUGUUAUAUAUAAGAUUGCAAGUGAAUUACUAACAAUUGCAGUUUCGCAGAGGUGCCUAGCCUAUUGGCUAUCGCUGUCCCAAUGCCACCGUUCCCCUGUCAUCUUUACUAGCGAAACUGCGGACUUCUCCGACUUUUCAUUUGAUCGGUAGCAGUAGUUUUGGUGGUAACUUUGGCAUUGGACCAGUGGCGUUGGACGGUUUAAAAGUCAAAAAUUUCUUUAGACAUCAUAACCUUGAUUAUUUUCUGUUUUGUUUUCAAAUUAGCUUGUUAGCUCUCUAUCUCAAGAUAUUUAUUUUGAAGUAGAUUAAAUUAGCCAAAAAAACCAAUCAUUCGUGUGUUCUUGGUGGGUAUUUCUGGAUUCACUAGCUUCUUUAGAUUUUCUUCUAUGAUCAAGACAUGGUUGGUGAUGCCUAUUCUUUCCAUGUCCUGCAAACUAUUUACGACACUGUGUCUAUGAGAAGUAUCAAGAACCUAGUGUGUUUAUCAUUUGCAAACAAUAAUGGUACAGACAUACUCAAAGACUUAAGACAACCUCACAAAACCGAUUUGUACGAUGGUAAUUGUCCUCACUUAUAAACACACCAUCUCUGAUCCGAUGUAGGACUUUUUAACACUCUUCAAAUUGGAAUUAAUAUGGCAAACCAAUUAAAUAUCAAUGACAUCAUUUUUGAGAUCAAUUCUUUAGUAGUAGUCGUUAAUAUGGUUACAUUUCUCUGUCAAAAAAAAAAAAAAAAUAGGGUUACAUUUGGUUCAUUACUACACUAAUAUAUGUGAUUAUGUAAAUUUUUUAAAUUAUUACCGGUGUCCCGACGUGUUUGUGUUGUGUUUGUGUCCGUUCAUAGGUUGCCAACUUUGAUGUUGUGAAAAUUUGGGUGAAUUACUGACUAUUUACUGUUUAAUUGCUUCCUUGAGAUUGGGAAUUGAUAGUUUGUUGUUAUUUUUGUUUGAAAAAUGAAGGAAUGAAUGAAUGAUCCUGUUUGUGUAUCGCACUGUGACAAUGGUUACUAAUAACUUUGGAUACAAAAUUGAAUUCAAUGAUAGGAGUCUCUAGUGUGUAUCUCAUAUUGGAUCCAUAUCCCUAUUAUGUUAAACCUAAGAUAGAUCUUAAUCUAUUCCAAUGAAUCAUUACCUUUCUUGUGAAUUUGGUGUGGUCAGCCACUUUUCUUUUUUCAUUUGAUUUAUAUGACUUGAGUCUUAAUCAUUUUUAGGUUCAUAUAUGAGAUUAAUUUUCAUACGUUGACAAUGUAUUAUUUUUACAUAUGUAUCUGGUCAAAUUUGGAGAGAAUUUUUAGGAAUGAUGUGAUUUGAUUGAAUGCAUGUGUAAAAAAGUUAUACAUUGCCGGUGCGUACAAAUUAGAUAUAUGAUAUAUUAGCUUAUAAAUUUGUACUCGAAAAUAUCAUAUUUUUAAUAGUAAUAUAUCUUACGAUUCAUUAUAAGAUUCGAUCCACAAUUUGGAAAAUAGUUCUUCCGGUUGAUGUUAUGAUCUCAAAUCGAUAACAAUGUCUAUGACAACUAUGAGGGAACUUUUAGUUUUAUAAGAAUUGGGUUUGGUGUGUGUAGAACUUUUAUAAUCAAGGAGUAUGGCUGAAACUUCUUGAAUGUGGUCCUUCAUUGGGAUACUUUGAAAAAUCAUAAAGAAAAAGGAAUGAAAAAAAAAAGUAGGAUUAAGAUUCCAAAAUUGAAAAAGAAUGAGGUUGAAUUUUUACAUAUUUUUAUUUUAUUUUGUUUGAACAUAAUAAUGAAUACAGUCCAUAUGAAAACGAAGAAGAUAACCAACGUAACUAACAAAUAACAAACUUUUUCUUUAUUAAGAACAUUUCUUCUCCUUAUAUGUGGUUCCUGUUGAGUGUAUGGUGAUCUGAUCAUUUUGAAUCAGCCAUUUCCCUUAAAGCAGUAGUUCUAUCAUAUGGAAACUAGAACUUGAGUUAUAUAUGACAUUUUUAUUUUACUUUGGAGUUUGAGUUUUAUGGUCUUCUACUGUUGAAAAAGCAAAUCUGAUUGCAACUUUAACUUGAGGCAAUGAUCAGCACUGUUUCUAAGAACACAAGCAAAUGCUACUUCAAAUUGAAAAAAUGCUGCAUUUUUUAGUUAUCUUCAUUUUGAAUUUUAUUUCAUGGGCUUUUUUACAUCAGCAAGUGCUUAUCGGAUCAUCCCUGUAAGUUCGAUUCUGAUACACCUUUUCUACCAAUAAUGCAUGGGACUAGGAUUGUGAACAUACAAUGCCGCACUGCAAUCAUUACCCCUGCAUUGUUCAUUCCAUUUAGCAUAAAAGGUUGAUAUAAUUAAACCUUCUCAUGCAUUUAUUGGUAUUUGGGGUCAUAUUUUUCUUAGGUGUGAGUGUGACAUGAUGGAGUUGAUACUGGCCUUUUCAGUUAUGUUCAUAAGAGCAGCUUUGUUGACAUUUUUCCAAUUUCAUGCAAGCUGUCUUAUUAAGGAAAAGUUGUUAAAUUUCGACAAAGCUUUAAGGAUAAUCAUAUCUAUUUCAUUGUUUAUCAUGUUAUUGCAUUUCUAAUUUGUACUUCCAUUGUUAAAUAUUUCCUUAAAUUUGUUUAUGCAGCUUUCUUGCAGGCACUGUCAUGGCUAGCAAUAGCAAUCUCUCCGUCAAGCAUAUCUGUUUUCACUAUCUCUAUAUAUCUUCUUAGUAUUCUAGGAGCUUCAAUAACUGAGGUAGGAAAUGAUGCCAUCGUUGCCGAGUUGGGUAAACAGCCUCCGUCUUCAACCAAGCACUCUCAACAACCAUCUUCCUCAGGCAAUCUUCAAUCCUUUGCUUGGAUAGCUUCCUCUGUAGGAGGAGUUCCCGACAACCUUCUUGGCGGCAUUUUCAUCAGCCGCCUCUCCACAAUCCAUGUUUAUGUUUUUCAGCCUUGUCGUUGCUCUCCAAUUCUUCACAACCAUUUCGGUUCGCGAAAGCUCUCUUGGACUUCCAAGGAAUCCAUCUAUUGGGAUAAAGAAACAGCUUUCAGAACUAUUGGUCGCAUUAAGAAAACCUGAAAUCGCUUAUUCAAUCUCAUGGUUUGCAUUAUCUUAUGCGGUUGUUCCCUUACUUAACGGAACCAUGUUCUUUUACCAGACACAAUACUUGAAAAUCGACUCGUCAGUAUUAGGUAUCUCCAAGGUUUUUGGUCAGGCAACAAUGCUUCUAUGGGGCGUUAUAUAUAAUCGAUACCUGAAAUCUAUAUCACCUAGGAAACUGAUAUCAGCGAUUCAAGUAACAAUUGCAUUCUUAAUGAUUUCAGAUGUCUUAUUUGUGCGCGGUUUCUAUAGACAAAUGGGCGUGCCGGAUACACUCUAUGUUGUGAUUUUCUCAGGAUUCUUGGAGGUUCU